rnacentral:rRNA from 1 species
GAUGAACGCUGGCGGCGUGCUUAACACAUGCAAGUCGAACGAAGCGCUUGAAUGGAAUUCUUCGGAAGGAAGCUCAAGUGACUGAGUGGCGGACGGGUGAGUAACGCGUGGGUAACCUGCCUCAUACAGGGGGAUAACAGUUAGAAAUGACUGCUAAUACCGCAUAAGCACACGUGAUCGCAUGAUCGAGUGUGAAAAACUCCGGUGGUACGAGAUGGACCCGCGUCUGAUUAGCUAGUUGGUGGGGUAAUGGCCCACCAAGGCGACGAUCAGUAGCCGGCCUGAGAGGGUGAACGGCCACAUUGGGACUGAGACACGGCCCAAACUCCUACGGGAGGCAGCAGUGGGGAAUAUUGCAUAAUGGGGGAAACCCUGAUGCAGCGACGCCGCGUGAAGGAUGAAGUAUUUCGGUAUGUAAACUUCUAUCAGCAGGGAAGAAAAUGACGGUACCUGACUAAGAAGCCCCGGCUAACUACGUGCCAGCAGCCGCGGUAAUACGUAGGGGGCAAGCGUUAUCCGGAUUUACUGGGUGUAAAGGGAGCGUAGACGGCAGUGCAAGUCUGAAGUGAAAGCCCGGGGCUCAACCCCGGGACUGCUUUGGAAACUGUGCAGCUAGAGUGUCGGAGAGGCAAGCGGAAUUCCUAGUGUAGCGGUGAAAUGCGUAGAUAUUAGGAGGAACACCAGUGGCGAAGGCGGCUUGCUGGACGAUGACUGACGUUGAGGCUCGAAAGCGUGGGGAGCAAACAGGAUUAGAUACCCUGGUAGUCCACGCCGUAAA